GCCCGGGUGGUGGAAUGGCAGACACUCAGGACUUAAAAUCCUGUGACCAGAAAUGGUCGUGCGGGUUCGACUCCCGCCCCGGGCA
rnacentral:tRNA from 1 species